ACCAGACUCCUACGGGAGGCAGCAGUGGGGGAUAUUGCACAAUGGGGGGAACCCUGAUGCAGCGACGCCGCGUGGGUGAAGAAGCGCCUCGGCGCGUAAAGCCCUAUCGGCAGGGAAGAAGGAGGACGGUACCUGACUAAGAAGCCCCGGCUAACUACGUGCCAGCAGCCGCGGUAAUACGUAGGGGGCAAGCGUUAUCCGGAUUUACUGGGUGUAAAGGGGGCGCAGACGGCAGCGCAAGCCAGGAGUGAAAGCCCGGGGCCCAACCCCGGGACUGCUCUUGGAACUGCGCGGCUGGAGUGCAGGAGGGGCAGGCGGAAUUCCUGGUGUAGCGGUGAAAUGCGUAGAUAUCAGGAGGAACACCGGUGGCGAAGGCGGCCUGCUGGACUGCGACUGACGUUGAGGCCCGAAAGCGUGGGGAGCAAACAGGAUUAGAUACCCUGGUA
rnacentral:rRNA from 1 species